rnacentral:rRNA from 1 species
GAUGAACGCUGGCGGCAUGCCUAACACAUGCAAGUCGAGCGACCGGACGAGCUGGCUGCCUCGGUGAAUGUAGCGUGGGGCAGGGGAGUGUAACGUAUCGAACCUUCCCAUUAAACUGGGGUUAAUUCGGGAAAAGGUACGUAAAACCCGCAUAUAUUCUGAACAGCAAGGCUCGAGACUGACAGACUGUUUUCUUGUCGAUCGGCCAAUGACGGACGCGCUAUUAGCUAGUGUGUGAGGUAACGGCUUACCAAGGCAGCGAUGCGUAGCAGACCUGAGAGGGUGAUCCGCCACACUGGAACUGAGACACGGCCCAGACUCCUACGGGAGGCAGCAGUGGGGAAUCUUCCGCAAUGGGCGAAAGCCUGAUCGAGCAAUGCCGCGUGAGUGAUGAAGGCCUUCGGAUUGUAAAGCUCUGUUGGCAGGGAAGAAAUAACGCGCUAUUAUCCGGGCAGAUGAUGACGGUACCUGAAGAAGAAGCCCCGGCUAACUACGUG